CUUUUCUAUCUGAUCGCCCAUCAGUGCGUUUAAAGGGGAUAUAACAAUUACAACUGAUUCUGGCCACACGGCAGAAAUAUUUCUUCUUUUCGAAUUAACAUAGUCGAACAUAUAAGGCAAAAGAUGGUAUAUUAAAGAUUUCCCAAACCCAGUUGGUAAUACGGCAAUAACAUCUCUUCCAUUUACUACUUGACAAACAGCUUCUUUCUGCUCUUCCUUUAAUUUAAUGUGAGUGUUAUUCGUUUUUGUAAGUGCAAAAUUUAUUGCUUCUUGUAGUAUUCGUUCCUCUAUAGUUGCAUUCAUUGCGGUCGCCAUGUUUUUAGGGAGUAAUACAUAUGCUGUGCGACCAAGCCUCUGCGUCGGAAUUCCGCUGAAGCUCAACAGCCUGACCCAGGGCCACUGUGAGGGCCGCCCGAGCUUGGGCCUGGGGACGAGGAUGAGG